GAGUUUGAUCAUGGCUCAGGAUGAACGCUGGCGGCGUGCCUGACACAUGCAAGUCGAGCGCGGUUGUGCUUAGUAUUGAGUGUUUUAUUGAUAUAAAACAUUGAAUUCUAUGCACAACUGAGCGGCGGACGGGUGAGUAACGCGUGGGUAACCUGCCCUAUACACAUGGAUAACAUACUGAAAAGUUUACUAAUACAUGAUAAAAUAGUUUUUCGGCAUCGAAGAAUUAUCAAAGUGUUAGCGGUAUAGGAUGGACCCGCGUCUGAUUAGCUAGUUGGUGAGAUAACUGCCCACCAAGGCGACGAUCAGUAGCCGACCUGAGAGGGUGAUCGGCCACAUUGGAACUGAGACACGGUCCAAACUCCUACGGGAGGCAGCAGUGGGGAAUAUUGCACAAUGGGCGCAAGCCUGAUGCAGCAACGCCGCGUGAACGAUGAAGGUCUUCGGAUCGUAAAGUUCUGUUGCAGGGGAAGAUAAUGACG
rnacentral:rRNA from 1 species